rnacentral:lncRNA from 12 species
CAGGAAACAUGCAUGGUCAUCAGUCCCUGACUAUGAUCAAAUCCUGUCAGGUAGAAAUAGCAACAAAUCCCUGCACUAGCUGGGCAGUAAUUUCCUUGGUCAGCACCUCUGGAGAGAAAGAGCCUGGACCCCUGAUGAAUUCACAGAGCAGACUGGCAAGCCAGCUUUGAAGUUUUACCUGUGAGUAAGAAACUGUUAUUUCAGGUCUUUUUGACAGAAGAGAGACCUACAUCCCCAGUAAUAUAGUGCUUUUAAAGUUUUUUCAAAGACACUGAGGCCCAAAGAGAUUAAUUCAUAGCAUUCUUGUCCAUCAGGCAUUUUUUAUAUCAAGUGAGAGAAGCCCACAUCAAGUGGGCUCAGAUUUGAGGGGAAUGUAGUGGCUCAUGGACUCAACCUAUGGGAAGCGCAACAGUGAAUUGAGGCCUCUGGGUGAUGGGAUUGGAGCUGGGCAGUUGCUGGAUACUCUGAUUCUUGUUUUGGGGCUCUUGGUGCAUCACUACCCUAUUUCCCUUCUGCAGAACUGCUGCUUCCAUGUGGAGGAAACUGGACCAUGGGUGGCUCCCAGAUCCUGCUGCAGAGAACAGACAGCCAACUUCUCAGUGAGAAAUCUGAGGGCAGAGCUCUGGUGGAAACACAGAACAACUUCCCACAUUUGCAACAUGUUGGAUUUGCUGACUGCUCCGGAUCCCUCUGGUAUGUUCUGACAUUCACAACCCUCCACACAGAAGCCCAGUCUGCAGUCAGGUAUUCGAUGCACAGCAGCUUGAGGAAUGCCUCUUGUGUCAUAGUGAUCAACCCAUCCUCAUCUGUGAACUGCUCUCAUGAGAAGCCCAGACACUUGGGCCAGGCCCCGCUCACAGGUAGGCCUAGAGAGCUGAACCACGUCCCAGGUUUAGGCACAUCCUUAUUGUGAGAUAUGUUCAGUUGAUUCUUUGAAAGUAGCCUCUAACAAUGUUCAUUCUUAGACUUUCUCAUCUUCUCAUGGCUCUCACCUCUCCAUUAUGAGAAUCUCUUCUCUAUCCAGUUUACUGGCCAGAGUUCUCCAACAUGAGAGCUUGCAAUUCCUCUGUAACAAACCAACAGAUAUCCUCAAGACCACCUUGACUACCUAAAAGAAGGGUUUUGGGGUUUUUUGUUUUGUUUUGUUUUUAGAGCAUUAGGUGUGUUAAAAUUAACAGAACCAUAAGCAUGUGCUUAUAGCCCAAAAUAAUGAUUUGGUGCUUUAGAACAUUUUCCCAACAAUGAAUGGGCUCUGAAGUCAGUCAGAUCAGCAUUAAGCACCUAGCUUUGCCAUGGGAGUGGCCUUAGACACACUCAGUGUUUCUGCACCUCACUUACCUCAUCUGUAAGAUGAGAAUUUACCACACAGGGCUGUGAAGAGUAAAUGAGGCAAUUCCUGUGAGUACUAGCACAGUGCUCUGUAAAUAGAAUGUUAUUAUACCUUUUUCGUUACUAAAUCCCAAUGCACAAAAUACAGCAGCAGGCUGUGCUGCUCCCUCACUGAGCCUGUUGUUGAAGAGAGGAGCAUGCUGGAAUGGCAGAUGCAGAAAGGCAUAAGAAAACCCCCAAUAGUAAUAUUAAUUAAAUUGUUUUCAUUUUCUGCCCAAGGUAUGAAAUGUAUGCCUCCUGUCAAGAAAGACCAUCGCAAGCUUUCUUGUGACCUCACACAUCCUGCUGGGCAUAAGACUCUAGAGGCUCCUUACCUGGGCCAGUUCUCAUGGCUGCGUGGGAGUGUGACAACCUUUAGUCAUAAGGGCCCAUCUGCCACCACACAGUGAGGAGGCUGGCUUACGGUGUAAAAGCAGUGGAUUCUCCAAACUCAGUGUCCCUCACCUGUGAUAAACCUGCUGUGUGCACAGUAGCCAUCAGUAGCCACGAGACUGAGUGGGGCAAAGGAACCAAUGAAAAUGGGU